GACGAACGCUGGCGGCGUGCUUAACACAUGCAAGUCGAGCGAUGAAGCACCUUCGGGUGUGGAUUAGCGGCGAACGGGUGAGGAACACGUGAGGAAUCUGCCUUUCACUUCGGGAUAACUCCGGGAAACCGGGGCUAAUACCGGAUAUUUUCAACUGGCGGCAUCGCCGGUUGAAGAAAGUUUUUCGGUGAAAGAUAACCUCGCGGCCUAUCAGCUUGUUGGUGAGGUAAUGGCUCACCAAGGCGACGACGGGUAGCCGGCCUGAGAGGGCGACCGGCCAUACUGGGACUGAGACACGGCCCAGACUCCUACGGGAGGCAGCAGUGGGGAAUAUUGGGCAAUGGAGGAAACUCUGACCCAGCGACGCCGCGUGAGGGAUGAAGGCCUUCGGGUUGUAAACCUCUUUCAGCAGGGAAUAAGCGAAAGUGAAGGUACCUGCAGAAGAAGCACCGGCUAACUAUGUGCCAGCCGCCGCCGUAA
rnacentral:rRNA from 1 species